GACGAACGCUGGCGGCGUGCCUAAUACAUGCAAGUAGAACGCUGAAGGAGGAGCUUGCUCUUCUGGAUGAGUUGCGAACGGGUGAGUAACGCGUAGGUAACCUGCCUGGUAGCGGGGGAUAACUAUUGGAAACGAUAGCUAAUACCGCAUAAGAGUAGAUGUUGCAUGACAUUUACUUAAAAGGUGCAAUUGCAUCACUACCAGAUGGACCUGCGUUGUAUUAGCUAGUUGGUGGGGUAACGGCUUACCAAGGCGACGAUACAUAGCCGACCUGAGAGGGUGAUCUGCCACACUGGGACUGAGACACGGCCCAGACUCCUACGGGAGGCAGCAGUAGGGAAUCUUCGGCAAUGGACGGAAGUCUGACCGAGCAACGCCGCGUGAGUGAAGAAGGUUUUCGGAUCGUAAAGCUCUGUUGUAAGAGAAGAACGAGUGUGAGAGUGGAAAGUUCACACUGUGUCGGUAUCUUACCAGAAAGGGACGGCUAACUACGUG
rnacentral:rRNA from 1 species